UAUUAAAAAUACAAAAAUUAGGCGAGCAUGGUGGUAAGCACCUGUAAUCCCAGCUCUUUGGGAGGCCGAGGCAGGCAGAUCACUUGAGGUCAGGAGUUGGAGACCAGCUUGGCCAACAUGGCGAGACCUUGUCUCUAUUAAAAAUACAAAAAUUAGGCGAGCAUGGUGGUAAGCACCUGUAAUCCCAGCUACUCGGGAGGCUGAGGCAGGAGAAUCGCUUGAACCUGGGAGGCAGAGGUUGCAGUGAGCUGAGAUUGUGCCUCUGCACUCCAGCCUGGGUGAGAGUGAGACUCUGUCUCAAAAAAAUAAAUUUUAUUCUUUGUUUAGAUUAUCCCCUGUGCAUGGAAUGCCCCGCACCCCUCUCCUAGCCCCAAGUAAAAUUCCCUUCAAGGCCUACCUCAAAUGUCACUGUCAUCAAGAAGGAGUUCCACAGGCAAUUAGUUAUCAUCUCUAUUCUCCCACAGCACCUGUUUUUACCUUAACUAUAACACUUUUAUUAUUGUAUUACAACUUAAGUCUCUGCAAUCCAAAGUCUGGUCCUUGGACCAUUAGCUGAGACUUCAUUUGAAAUGCAGAAUCUGGGCCCCAUCCCAGACCUACAGAAUCAGAAUCCAAAUUUUAACAAGAUAUCAGUGACUUAUUUGCACAUUAAUCUUUCCCUGGUGGAACUGUGAGCCUUUCUAGGGCUCUCUUUUAUUUCUGUCCCCAGAGCCCAACAUAAGACUUGACACUCAAAUGCUUUUUAAGUUUUAUUUGCAAUACUUAUAUGAUAGAUGUUUUUUA
rnacentral:lncRNA from 1 species